ACGAGNACGGAUAUAAGUUUACUUAUAUUGUCAGCUAAGUGGCGCACGGGUGAGUAAUAUAUAGUUAAUCUGCCCCAAAGAAGAGAAUAAUUGUUGGGAACGACUUGUAAUGCUCUAUAUGCCUUUAUUACAUAAGUAAGCAAGGGAAACAUUUAUGGCUUUGGGAUGAGACUGUACGGUAUCAGCUAGUUGGUGAGGUAAUGGCUCACCAAGGCAAUGACAUCUAACUGGUUUGAGAGGAUGAUCAGUCACACUGGAACUGAGACACGGUCCAGACUCCUACGGGAGGCAGCAGUGGGGAAUAUUGCACAAUGGAGGAAACUCUGAUGCAGCAACGCCGCGUGGAGGAUGACACAUUUCGGUGCGUAAACUCCUUUUAUUAGGGAAGAUAAUGACGGUACCUAAUGAAUAAGCACCGGCUAACUCCGUGCCAGCAGCCGCGGUGAUACGGGGGGUGCAAGCGUUACUCGGAAUCACUGGGCGUAAAGAGCAUGUAGGCUGGUUUGUAAGUUGGAAGUGAAAUCCUAUAGCUUAACUAUAGAACUGCUUCCAA
rnacentral:rRNA from 1 species